UGUUUCGACUAGGGGGUCAUCCCGACUUACCAACUCGAUGCAAACUGCGAAUACCGAAGAAUGUUAUCACGGGAGACACACGGCGGGUGCUAACGUCCGUCGUGAAGAGGGAAACAACCCAGACCGCCAGCUAAGGUCCCAAAGUCAUGGUUAAGUGGGAAACGAAGUGGGAAGGCUCAGACAGCCAGGAUGUUGGCUUAGAAGCAGCCAUCAUUUAAAGAAAGCGUAAUAGCUCACUGGUCGAGUCGGCCCGCGCGGAAGAUGUAACGGGGCUAAACCAUGCACCGAAGCUGCGGCAGCGACACGUAGUGUUGUUGGGUAGGGGAGCGUUCUGUAAGCCUGCGAAGGUGUACUGUGAGGUAUGCUGGAGGUAUCAGAAGUGCGAAUGCUGACAUAAGUAACGAUAAUGCGGGUGAAAAACCCGCACGCCGGAAGACCAAGGGUUCCUGUCCAACGUUAAUCGGGGCAGGGUGAGUCGACCCCUAAGGCGAGGCUGAAAAGCGUAGUCGAUGGGAAACGGGUUAAUAUUCCCGUACUGGUGGUAACUGCGAUGGGGGAACGGAGAAGGCUAGGUUGUCCGGGCGACGGUCGUCCCGGUUCAAGCAGGUAGGCAGAGUGAUUAGGCAAAUCCGGUCACUUAAUGC
rnacentral:rRNA from 1 species